CCUACGGGAGGCUGCAGUGGGGAAUAUUGCACAAUGGGCGCAAGCCUGAUGCAGCCACGCCGCGUGUGUGAAGAAGGCCUUCGGGUUGUAAAGCACUUUCAGCGGGGAGGAAGGCGUUAAGGUUAAUAACCUUGUCGAUUGACGUUACCCGCAGAAGAAGCACCGGCUAACUCCGUGCCAGCAGCCGCGGUAAUACGGAGGGUGCAAGCGUUAAUCGGAAUUACUGGGCGUAAAGCGCACGCAGGCGGUCUGUCAAGUCGGAUGUGAAAUCCCCGGGCUCAACCUGGGAACUGCAUUCGAAACUGGCAGGCUAGAGGCUUGUAGAGGGGGGUAGAAUUCCAGGUGUAGCGGUGAAAUGCGUAGAGAUCUGGAGGAAUACCGGUGGCGAAGGCGGCCCCCUGGACAAAGACUGACGCUCAGGUGCGAAAGCGUGGGGAGCAAACAGGAUUAGAUACCCGGGUAGUC
rnacentral:rRNA from 1 species